UCGCUCGGAAAGAGGACCAAAAUGGAGGAGUAAGAAUCAUGAUUAAAUUGAGCGAGCGCAACUAAUCACGCGAAGAGGGCCGCAGGCGGGCCGUCUUCCGCAAGCGUGCUUCCAGGCCUCCACUCCCCACCUAUUCGGCGGUGCCCUGUUACUUCUGCGCCUGCGCGCUGCUUCCCGCGACCUCACAGGCAGAGCGAACACGCACGGAGUCGCAGGGGCGCGCAAAGGGGGAGGAGCGGGCGGGACCAGGCGCGCGCGCGCGUCUGGAGUGACUAGAGAGCAGGAGCAGAUCCGGGGUAGAGGGAAAAGAGCUCCGGGCCAGGGGCUGCCGUCGCCGCCGUCGGGGAGUCAGCCCGCCAGCCCGCCAGCUCGUCAGCCAGCCAGCCAGCGCUUCGCGGGCCCUGUCGGUCCCGGUAAGCGGGCCUGCGCUUACCGGAAAGAGGAGCGUAAGAUGAAAGAGUUUCUUGCGGCCCCAUAACUUUUUCUUGGUGUUCUAUGGCUUUACGAAUGGAGGAGCCAACUGGGCCUGGGCCAUUCGGGUGGUU
rnacentral:sRNA from 1 species